rnacentral:rRNA from 1 species
AAUCCCGUGAACCAUCGAGUCUUUGAACGCAAGUUGCGCCCGAAGCCUUCGGGCCGAGGGCACGCCUGCCUGGGCGUCACGCAUNGCGUCGCCCCCUCCCUCGAGCUCCGCGGAGCCGGGGGUGCGGAGAUUGGCCUCCCGUGUGCCCCGUCGUGCGGCCGGCCC